GUCUGCGGUCAUGCCACCCUGAACAAGCGCGAUCCCGUCUGAUCUCAGAAGCUAAGCAGGGUCAGGCCUGGUUAGUACUUGGAUGAGAGACCAACUAGGAAGACUAGGUGCUGUAGGCA
rnacentral:rRNA from 1 species